GACGAACCGAGCGAACGUUGUUCGGAAUUACUGGGCGUAAAGGGCGCGUAGGCGGCCCGCUAAGUCGAACGUGAAAUCCCCGGGCUCAACCCGGGAACUGCGUCCGAUACUGGCGGGCUUGAAUCCGGGAGAGGGAUGCGGAAUUCUAGGUGUAGCGGUGAAAUGCGUAGAUAUCUGGAGGAACACCGGUGGCGAAGGCGGCAUCCUGGACCGGUAUUGACGCUGAGGCGCGAAAGCCAGGGGAGCAAACGGG
rnacentral:rRNA from 1 species